rnacentral:rRNA from 1 species
GACAAACGCUGGCGGCGCGCUUAACACAUGCAAGUCGAGCGAGAACCUGGGCUUCGGCCCUGGGGACAGCGGCGAACGGGUGAGUAACACGUGGGUAAUCUGCCCUUGACAUCGGGAUAGCCCGGGGAAACCCGGAUUAAUACCGAAUAGCCUCCGGAGCCUUCGGGCGCCGGAGAAAAGGUAGCUUCGGCCUCUGGUCGAGGAUGAGCCCGCGGCGGAUUAGCUUGUUGGCGGGGUAACGGCCCACCAAGGCGACGAUCCGUAGCUGGUCUGAGAGGACGAUCAGCGACACUGGGACUGAGCCACGGCCCAGACUCCUACGGGAGGCAGCAGUGGGGAAUCUUGCGCCAAUGCGGGAAACCGUGACGCAGCGACGCCGCGUGGGGGAAGAAGGCCUUCGGGUUGUAAACCUCUUUCAGGAGGGACGAAGCCACUCGGGUGAAUAGCCCAGAGGGUGACGGUACCUCCAGAAGAAGCCCCGGCUAACUACGUGCCAGCCGCCGCGGUAA